CCCAGCUGUAGACAACUACCUAGGUUGUCCUGUACCUAGGCAAGUGUUACACUGUUGGGAGAAGAGCAGCCAACAGCUGAUGGGUAUUCUGCAUCUGCUAAUGCCAAAUU
ensembl:snoRNA SNORA74 Small nucleolar RNA SNORA74